rnacentral:lncRNA from 1 species
UCGUCCCAACUAUAUUCUCAUUUCCUGAAGAGAACAGUGAAGGAAAGGGUGAGCUCAACUAGCCCAGUAAGAAAUAUUAUGACUAAGAUAAUGCAUAAUAAAUUAUCAUUAGUCUUCAACAAUGUUAAACUGAUAAAGUAUAGUAGACAUCAAGUUUAACUGCAGCGGAACAAGCAAUCCAUUAAAAGAGUCAAGUAAAGAAUAAAAUCUACUAUCUUGUAUGAUUUAAAAAGGUUUUUCAUCACUUUUAUCGCUGAAACUCAGCUUAAUAAAUAAUCCACAUCAUCAAAUCAUCCCUGCAUUACAGGCCAAGGAGUAUCACGACCACGAAUUAUCCAUGUACUACGGGCUAAAGAUAAUCAUAUUUUCAUCAACGGUCCUGAUCAUGCCAUAAAAUAAUUCAUCUUUACACCCUUGGCCGAAGAGAAUCCAUAGCCAUAAUUAUACCAAAAACUGUUCAUCAAUGCACUACGGACCAAUGAGAAUUUUUUCCACAUCAUUUGUAACAUUACGGUCAUGAUUAUACCGAAUAAUCCCUGGUCAUAAUCAUACCAAGUCCAUCUAUGCACUACAGGCCACAGAUGAUUUUGAAUAUAAUAUAAACAUGAGGAUGAUGACAAUGACAUAAUAAUUCAAUAAAACAAGUUCAAGAAUUAAUUUAUCCAGGAACUAAUAACGUCCAAAUUGUCAACAUGAUACUUCUUUUUAGAGUAAAAUUCAAGAAUGCUCAGAAGAAUAUUUCCAUGAAAAGAUACUGGAUGAAACGCAAAUAUCAAGGAUAUUUCACUAAUUUCAUGGAGUAUAAAAGUCAAAACUUUAAUCAACUGAGUAUAAUAAUAAAUGGAAUAACAAAAGAAAUCACCAGGUAUGCGAUAGACCGCACAGACAGGUUAUUCCAAUAGAAUAAUAAACAACGGAACCAGGUCAUGCGUAAACGCACAGACAUGAUAUUCCAACAGAAUAAUAAAUAACGGAACCAGGUCAGGCGAAAUUCGCAUCGACAGGAUGUUCCAACAGAAUAAUAAAUAACAGAACCAGGUCAUGCGUAAACGCACAGACAGGAUACUCCAACAGAAUAAUAAAUAAUGGAACCAGGUCAGGUGAAAUUUCCACCGACAGGAUGUUCCAACAAAAUAAUAAAUAACGGAACCAGGUCAUGCGUAAACGCACAGACAUGAUAUUCCAACAGAAUAAUAAAUAACGGAACCAGGUCAGGCAAAAUUCGCACCGACAGGAUGUUCCAACAUAAUAAUAAAGAAUAAAACAACAGAAGAAUUUCACCAUGUAUGCAGUACUUCGCAUAGAAACGACUAAUCAUAUAAGGUGUCAAUCUGUGCAGCCAAAACGAUAUUCCAAUUUUUUAUUCCAAUCAUAAAAAAUUGGAAUAUUCUGAUUCUUCAAAUAAUCAUAUAAGGUGCCAAUCUGUGCAGCCAAAACGACUAAUAAAUCUAUACUAGAAAAAAUUAAAAAAGUUCAUAAUGGAUAAAGUUUUAAAAGUGAUGAUACCUUUUAUUAAUAGAUAUAUCUGAUGCUUGAGAAAAAUAUACAAAAAAAUUGAUACCGUACACAUAUUUCAUUAAAGAAGACAUGUAUGCAUGCAUCACUACAAGAAAAUAUGACAAUGACGAUAUGACCUGUCAUCAUAGAACCAAAAGUCUUCGCUAUAUUUUAUACCGACCUAUGAUAACGUUAUGAUACCCCUAUGUCGACGAGUCUACCAUCGCCAUACAAGUUUUUGCCGUAAAACCUCCAAAUAACGAUGGUCUACCAACACCGACAAAUCCCCACCAUUGGUAAAAAAGAAUAUAGCGAUAGGUAGAUUUAAAGUGUCCUAAGGCAUCGUCGGCAUAAAUAUAAUAACACCCAUUAUUUAUAACACUAUGACGACCACAAUACUGUAGACUGAUUUUUUGGAACGCUGUACAAAGGUCGAUGACCGUCGCUAUAUUUUUUUAGUUUUCAAAAAAAACUUAAAACAUUUUAUUCAACAAAUACAAUACAAUAUAAAAUAAAACAUAAGAAAUAUUACAUCAUUUAAAACUAUUAACAUCACAAUACACUAGUAGAAUAAUUCAUCAUAAUCCCCACCUACUUUUGUAUAUCAUACAUCACAUAGAUAGGCUUAUCAAUUCUGUACUUCUCCUUAAAUCUAUCCUUUUCUCUAGCUGCAUCUAAGCGGUGCCUCUGUCUUUAUCCUCAAGCCCUUGUUGUAGAAAUAUUCUGCUAUUAACCCCAUGACAAUAGCAACUAACAACUAACAUCGCACUUACUUACUUACGAUUAACAAGCCAUCAUUCAUUACACCUUUUUUGCAUAGUUGACGCAUUAAGAGUAAUCAGCACUUGUAGCUUUUAGAAGCCUUUGUUUCCUCAAUGUUUCAUAACUUGUAUCUACAAGAUAGAAACCAUGAAACAAAUAAGUAAAAAUUACUUGAUCAAAACAACACUAUAAUGUACAUAUAUAUAUAUAUAGAGAGAGAGAGAGCAAGGAUCAAGUGCAUACCCCUUAUCUUACUCACCCGUGCUCACCCUCCUUUAGCGACGGACCUGGCGACGAUUUCGGUCAUAUAACCGUCGUCUAUACUUUUAGCGACGAACCGUCGCCGGGUCCAUCGCUAAAGGGGGGUGAACACGGGUGAGUAAGAUAAGGGGUAUGCACUUGAUCCGGACCGUAUAUAUAUAUAUAUAUAUAUAUAUACACAAGCAUAUUUAUCAAAUUUGGAAUACAGAAAUAUGUCCAAGCCUGCAAAAUGUCACUAUCAUGUUUACAUUUUAAGCAAAUAUAAUUAAAAACAUGCAUAUCAAUUACUUGAACGUCGAAUAAUACUAUUAUUAAUAGGAGUUACGUUAGCUAUUAAUCAUAUUUCAACUAACGCUCAUCCAGCCGUCCAAAAUUGGAGUUAAUGGCUGAGAUGAGCGACCAGCCGCUAGAGGGAGUAGCGGCCAGCAAAUUUCUUUUAUGCUGGCCGCUACUCCCUCUAGCGGCCAGUCAGAACGACGUGUUUUGACUGGCCGCUAGAGGGAGUAGCGGCCAGCCAGCAUAAAAGAAUUUGGCUUAAUUACUGAUUAUCCUAAUUAUUCUCGUAAAAUAAAAUAAAAUAAUAAAUAAUUAUAAGGAUAAUCAGAAGGGUAAUCAGUANNNNNNNNNNNNNNNNNNNNNNNNNNNNNNNNNNNNNNNNNNNNNNNNNNNNNNNNNNNNNNNNNNNNNNNNNNNNNNNNNNNNNNNNNNNNNNNNNNNNCUAUAAUUAUCCUUUUAAUUAUUUAUUAUUUUAUUUUAUUUUACGAGAAUAAUUAGGAUAAUCAGUAAUUAAGCCAAAUUCUUUUAUGCUGGCUGGCCGCUACUCCCUCUAGCGGCCAAUCAAAACACGUCGUUUUGACUGGCCGCUAGAGGGAGUAGCGGCCAGCAUAAAAGAAAUUUGUUGGCCGCUACUCCCUCUAGCGGCUGGGCGCUCAUCUCAGCCAUUAACUCCAAUUUUGGACGGCUGGAUGAACGUUAGUUGAAACAGGGUUAAUAGCAAACGUAUUCCACGGAUUAUUUCCCUAUAUAUAUAUAUACAAGCAUAUUUAUCAAAUUUGGAAUACAGAAAUAUGUCCAAGCCUGCAAAAUGUCACUAUCAUGUUUACAUUUUAAGCAAAUAUAAUUAAAAACAUACAUAUCAAUCUUUUACUUGAACGCCGGAUAAUACUAUUAUUAAUAGGAGCAUUCAACAAAAUGAGAAACCAUAUAUAAUAAGAUAUAGCUGAAAUAGUAUAAGUUUGGCCUUCAAUUGUCACACUCUCUCCACAUUGCAAGUUCUACAAUAAGAUCAGACAACAUAAUAGACAUGCCCUACCCACCCAGCUGCAAAAUAUUGUGUUUUUUUUCUGUUUAUAAUUAUUCAAAAAAAUGUUGGUCAAGGCCUAGAUAUCAAAAUGCAUGAAUGCAACUAUGUUUGUCAACAUGACAGAUAAGAAUUUAAGUAUUUUAUGGCAUGUUACACUGAAUGAGGGCAGUACGUACAAAUUCGUGAGAAAUGACAUCUGACUUGCUACAAAUGUCAAAGAAAGGGCCUAAAAUCACUCGGUCUCAUUUCUACUAGUUAAAAACAUGCAAAAAAAAUAUAUAUUAAGAUAUCGAUGUAACCAUAAGAAGCGUAUAUUGUUCAUUUUACGGAAAGGCGGCAUGAGACCUUAUACCAUAAGAAGAAACACAGAUAUUUCAAUAAUAUAAUUAUAUUCCCAUGAGCUCAUAUAUUCCCAUGAUAUUGUUCUGCCAGAAAUGCUGUCUCACAGGACAAGGUUGUGAAAAACUCACUUUCUUAGGCAUUUAUCAUAAAAUCCAUAUACUUGAGUAAUCUGCAAGAAAUAAAAAAAAGGAGCCACGAUGAUAUAGUGCUGAUAUUAAAUCAAAAGGCCAUAAUGGAAUAGAAAAUAAAUACUUAAACCUAAACCUGUAUGUAUGGAAGAGGACAUCAGAAUAGAACUUCUGACAAUAUUUAACUAUAGCUAUCACCCGGCUCCUACUAUAGAUUAAUUAUCAAUUCAGAGAAACACAUCCUGGGUGACAAAAUGGGAGCCAUAACCAGGCUGUUAAACAAGCAAAAGGCAGAACAUGAAAUAAAUAAAUAUUUGGAAAAAAUUAUACCUGACGACUCUCAUGGUUUCCUCUCAAAAUAGUAAUUCGCUGAGGAUACCUCACUUUGAGCGCCACCAAGAGCUGAAAAGNNNNNNNNNNNNNNNNNNNNNNNNNNNNNNNNNNNNNNNNNNNNNNNNNNNNNNNNNNNNNNNNNNNNNNNNNNNNNNNNNNNNNNNNNNNNNNNNNNNNUAAUAAUAAAGAAUAAAACAACAGAAGAAUUUCACCAUGUAUGCAGUACUUCGCAUAGAAACGACUAAUCAUAUAAGGUGUCAAUCUGUGCAGCCAAAACGAUAUUCCAAUUUUUUAUUCCAAUCAUAAAAAAUUGGAAUAUUCUGAUUCUUCAAAUAAUCAUAUAAGGUGCCAAUCUGUGCAGCCAAAACGACUAAUAAAUCUAUACUAGAAAAAAUUAAAAAAGUUCAUAAUGGAUAAAGUUUUAAAAGUGAUGAUACCUUUUAUUAAUAGAUAUAUCUGAUGCUUGAGAAAAAUAUACAAAAAAAUUGAUACCGUACACAUAUUUCAUUAAAGAAGACAUGUAUGCAUGCAUCACUACAAGAAAAUAUGACAAUGACGAUAUGACCUGUCAUCAUAGAACCAAAAGUCUUCGCUAUAUUUUAUACCGACCUAUGAUAACGUUAUGAUACCCCUAUGUCGACGAGUCUACCAUCGCCAUACAAGUUUUUGCCGUAAAACCUCCAAAUAACGAUGGUCUACCAACACCGACAAAUCCCCACCAUUGGUAAAAAAGAAUAUAGCGAUAGGUAGAUUUAAAGUGUCCUAAGGCAUCGUCGGCAUAAAUAUAAUAACACCCAUUAUUUAUAACACUAUGACGACCACAAUACUGUAGACUGAUUUUUUGGAACGCUGUACAAAGGUCGAUGACCGUCGCUAUAUUUUUUUAGUUUUCAAAAAAAACUUAAAACAUUUUAUUCAACAAAUACAAUACAAUAUAAAAUAAAACAUAAGAAAUAUUACAUCAUUUAAAACUAUUAACAUCACAAUACACUAGUAGAAUAAUUCAUCAUAAUCCCCACCUACUUUUGUAUAUCAUACAUCACAUAGAUAGGCUUAUCAAUUCUGUACUUCUCCUUAAAUCUAUCCUUUUCUCUAGCUGCAUCUAAGCGGUGCCUCUGUCUUUAUCCUCAAGCCCUUGUUGUAGAAAUAUUCUGCUAUUAACCCCAUGACAAUAGCAACUAACAACUAACAUCGCACUUACUUACUUACGAUUAACAAGCCAUCAUUCAUUACACCUUUUUUGCAUAGUUGACGCAUUAAGAGUAAUCAGCACUUGUAGCUUUUAGAAGCCUUUGUUUCCUCAAUGUUUC